rnacentral:rRNA from 1 species
AAAUUGAAGAGUUUGAUCAUGGCUCAGAUUGAACGCUGGCGGCAGGCCUAACACAUGCAAGUCGAACGGUAGCACAGAGAGCUUGCUCUCGGGUGACGAGUGGCGGACGGGUGAGUAAUGUCUGGGAAACUGCCCGAUGGAGGGGGAUAACUACUGGAAACGGUAGCUAAUACCGCAUAACGUCGCAAGACCAAAGAGGGGGACCUUCGGGCCUCUUGCCAUCGGAUGUGCCCAGAUGGGAUUAGCUAGUAGGUGGGGUAACGGCUCACCUAGGCGACGAUCCCUAGCUGGUCUGA